UACCGGGUCCGGACACACUGAGGAUUGACAGACAAAUAUAGAAAUUUUAUAUUUCUCAUAUAUAAAGAUGCUAGUUCUUUCAUGAUUAUGUGAUAGGUGGUGCAUGGCCGUUCUUAGUUCGUGGAGUGAUCUGUCUGCUUAAUUGCGUUUCAAUUUUUAUUAUGUAUACGUAUGACCCACGUUUACGCGUGCGAGUCUAGUAUGCUAUCAUUUGAAAGCAACGAACGUGACCGUAUCCUUUUAUUAUAUACGCACGCGUAUAUUUAUUCAUUAAAGGGACCGCUGUUUCUUUUUUUAAACCAGAGGAAGGUUACGGCAAUAACAGGUCUGUGAUGCCCUUCGAUGUUCCGGGCUGCACACGUGCUACAAUGAUUAUUUCAUUAAGUAUCUA
rnacentral:rRNA from 1 species